rnacentral:rRNA from 1 species
CCUACGGGUGGCAGCAGUAGGGAAUAUUGCUCAAUGGGGGAAACCCUGAAGCAGCAACGCCGCGUGGAGGAUGAAGGUUUUCGGAUUGUAAACUCCUUUUGUCAGGGAGGAAAAUGCCGGUUCCUAACGAUAAAGCCCCGGCUAACUCCGUGCCAGCAGCCGCGGUAGUACGGAGGGUGCAAGCGUUAUCCGGAUUAACUGGGCGGAAAGGGGGCGUAGGCGGGAUAGCAAGUCAGAAGUGAAAUCCUGUGGCUUAACCAUGGAACUGCAUUUGAAACUGUUUUUCUAGAGUAUGGGAGAGGUAGGUGGAAUUCUUGGUGUAGGGGUAAAAUCCGUAGAGAUCAAGAGGAAUACUCAUUGCGAAGGCGACCUGCUAGAACAUAACUGACGCUGAUGCGCGAAAGCGUGGGUAGCAAACAGGAUUAGAUACCCCGGUAGUC